AUAAAGGGCAUUAAAGUAAACGUAGAUUGUCUACGGCCAUACCUAGGCGAAAACACCAGUUCCCGUCCGAUCACUGCAGUUAAGCGUCUGAGGGCCUCGUUAGUACUAUGGUUGGAGACAACAUGGGAAUCCGGGGUGCUGUAGGCUCCUUCUUUUCUUUCUUUUUUGCCUUUUUAAUCCUGUUUUU